AGUAUUCAUAUGCUUGUGUCAAAGAUUAAGCCAUGCAUGUCUAAGUAUAAAUAUUUAUAUUGUGAAACUGCGAAUGGCUCAUUAAAUCAGUUAUAGUUUAUUUGAUAAUAUCUACUACUUGGAUAACCGUGGUAAUUCUAGAGCUAAUACAUGCGAAAAAGCCCGACUUCGGAAGGGCUGUAUUUAUUAGAUACAAAACCAAUGCGCUUCGGCGGUUUCUUGGUGAUUCAUAAUAACUUUUCGGAUCGCAUGGCCUUGUGCCGGCGACGUUUCAUUCAAAUUUCUGCCCUAUCAACUUUCGAUGGUAAGGUAUUGGCUUACCAUGGUUACAACGGGUGACGGAGAAUUAGGGUUCGAUUCCGGAGAGGGAGCCUGAGAAACGGCUACCACUUCCAAGGAAGGCAGCAGGCGCGCAAAUUACCCAAUCCUGACACAGGGAGGUAGUGACAAAAAAUAACAAUACAGGACUUUUAAAAGCCUUGUAAUUGGAAUGAGUACAAUUUAAACCCCUUAACGAAGAACAAUUGGAGGGCAAGUCUGGUGCCAGCAGCCGCGGUAAUUCCAGCUCCAAUAGCGUAUAUUAAAGUUGUUGCAGUUAAAAAGCUCGUAGUUGGAUUUUGGAUUGUGUUUAAUGGUCUGCCGUGAGGUAUGCACUGUUAGGCGCUUUCUUCUUGUCAAAGACUGUGUGUGCUCUUAAUUGAGUGUGCUCAGGGUUUGGCACUUUUACUGUGAGAAAAUUAGAGUGUUUAAAGCAGGCGUUUGCUUGAAUAUUGCAGCAUGGAAUAAUGGAAUAGGAUCACGAUCUUAUUUUGUUGGUUUCUAGGAUCGAGAUAAUGAUUAAUAGGGAUAGUUGGGGACAUUAAUAUUUAAUUGUCAGAGGUGAAAUUCUUGGAUUUAUGAAAGAUUAACUUCUGCGAAAGCAUUUGUCAAGGAUGUUUUCGUUAAUCAAGAACGAAAGUUAGGGGAUCGAAGACGAUCAGAUACCGUCGUAGUCUUAACCAUAAACUAUGCCGACUAGGGAUUGGUGGCAGUUAAUUAUAUGACUUCAUCAGCACCUUAUGAGAAAUCAAAGUUUUUGGGUUCCGGGGGGAGUAUGGUCGCAAGGCUGAAACUUAAAGGAAUUGACGGAAGGGCACCACCAGGAGUGGAGCCUGCGGCUUAAUUUGAC
rnacentral:rRNA from 1 species